UCAGAUCCCCUUUCUUUUAUUUGGUUGCUCGUGACUCUGUCUCCUUCCUCCUUCGCUCUUUUCGUCUUUUCUUCAACCCCCAUCAUCAACACCGUCCAUCAUCAUCAUCAUCAUCACCGUCCACCGUCGAUCAUCAUCCACCCUCAACGGAUCAUCAUCCUUCAUCACAAUCAAUCAUCACCGUCUGUUCUAACCCUCCGAUCAGCAAUCAUCAAUCAUCCAUCACCGUCGAAUUCAAUCCGAAGGACCAAAUUUGCUGCUCAAUUUUCAAUUAAUCGUAGCCGUCGAGCUUCAUUAAUUCCGUACAACCAAACGCGUUCAAAUGUUCGGACGAACUAAAUAUAGGUUCGGGCGAACCCGUUUCUGGUUUGGGCGAACUCCAUGGAGUAUGCCUUGAGUUUUUAGGGUGUUUAAGGAGAAAUUAGCCCUUUUAGGCUCGUUUCACGCUUUCCGGGCCACGUAUUUUCCCGAGCUAGUUCGAGACAAUCCUAGUCUACUCAAAAGGAGCCUAUGAAGCUUAUGUUCGAACCUUAAGAGUUAGACUCAGUCAUUGGAAGUAAAAACGAUGUCUAAGAGCGUAUACUGAAGGUCGCCCGACGACCAAGGGGUGAAAAGCGCCCAACCGGCGAAUUAAAAAAGGAAUUGGCUAUGUAACGCUUGUCUGGUCCCUAUCGGGCGGUUGGCUUUUUCUUAGAUCCAUGGGCGAAAAUCGCCCAUCGGUCAGAAAAUGAUCACUUCUACACUCGCCUGAUCGGACAGAUGGCGGCCCGAUCGGGCGACUGCGACGAAAACCUUUCCGUGAUUUUCUUAGUUUAAUUACUCGGUUUUUCUUAUUUUCUAGCAAUACUAUAAAUAUUAAGUCUUAAGGACUUAGAAAACAUCCUAGAUUACCAGAAAUUUAUUUACUUAAUUAGUUUAUGUUCUCUCUCUAAAACCAUUGUUAAUUACUUUGGCAAAUUUCAAUUAUGUUCACUAUUAAGUCUCAAGGUUCAGCGCGUCUCCUGUGAGACCAGUCACACCAUCAACUUGAUGGUGUGACGAGCGCGAAACCAAUAGCGUACCUCCCCUAAAACUAUAUAAAAAAAAGUAACAGGUCUAAACUAUAGAAGUAACAUACCUAAAUUAAAAAAGUACCUCCUCUAAAAUUACCUAAAAAAAGUAACAUGUCUAAACUAUAGAAGUAACAUACCUAAACUAAAAAUGUACAUCCCCUAAAAUUAUUCCGUAUAAAAAAAGUAACAUGUCUAAACUAUAGAAGUAACAUACCUAAACUAAAAAAGUACCUCAUCUAAAAUUAUAAAAAAAAAAAAGUUGUCUAAACUAUAGAAGUAACAUACCUAAACUAAAAAAAAAUACCUCCUCUAAAAUUAUUAAAAAAAAAAAAAACUAACAUGUCUAAACUAUAGAAGUAACAUACCUAAACUAAAAAGGUAUCUCCCCUAAAACUACUCCGUAUAAAAAAAGUAACAUGUAUAAACUAUAGAAUUAACAUACCUAAACUAAAAAAAGCACUUCCUCUAAGUUUUUUUUUUAAAAAAUAACAUGUCUAAACUAUAGAAGUAACAUACCUAAACUAAUAAAGUAUCUCCCCUAAAACUACUCCGUACAAAAAAAGUAACAUGUAUAAACUAUAGAAGUAACAUACCUAAACUAAAAAAGUAUCUGCUCUAAAAUUAUAAAAAAAAAAAAAGUAACAUGUCUAAACUAUAGAAGUAACCUACCUAAAUUCGCAAGUGUGAACCGGUCUCACCAUCAGUUGAUGGUGAGGACAGUCUCAUAUAAGAAUUUGGGCUCAAGGUUUUAUGCACUCGGGUUAGGCUAUGAAUUAUGUUCUCCCUUGAACACAAUCUAUGUAAAGUAUACUGUAUGGGUUGUCUUUAGAGUUCUACUAGGAAACUAAUUACUAAUCCUAUCAGGAUUACAAUUAAUUAAUUAAAGUUAUAGGAAUAAUUAAACACCUAGUGUGAUCUGAUUUAUUAAAUUAGCAGACCAUUAGUUUGAUCAUCACGUGGGUAAAUAUAUGGGAUUGUGAUCUGAUUUAUACGUGGGUAAAUCAAGAAAGUGAUCUGAUUUAUUAAAUUAGCAGACCACUAGUUUGAUAUGGGGCAUAAGGGAUAUGGAUAUUAUGGAAUAAUUAAAAUGAAGGCUUGGAUGAAGCUCCAAAAUGACCGAUGAAGCAAAAGAAAAAUUCAUGAAUCAACAGAUAAUUUAUAGACGACAACAAAAACCUCAAGUGAAGUCCCAGAAAAUUGUCAAAAGUUAUGUCUCUCAAUAACAUACUGUUGCUUCACCCCAUUCCCUGAACUUGAACAUAUCAGUAUUACUGUCUGUAAAUUCUGAAGUUCUUUGACUUGGUCUUUAAUCUUGAUUUCCUAGUUAAUUCAAACUCAUCAAUUCUAGCCUCGUGAGCUCUUUACUUUACUAUUUAUCGACUAGUUCCAGUAAAAUAAACUCAAAUUUAUGCUAACAUGUUCAACUCAAGUAGGGAAGAAACUGGAUAUGAUGCCCUAUAAACUAGGUCAUAGAUGGACAAUUAAAUAUGCAGAUCAAAAGAACCAGAAUUCUAUUGAGCCUGCAAAGACAGACAUUCGUAAAUCAGAUACAUAAUGCAACAAAGCAGGCCAAGUCAGCAAUAUAACAUAUUGUGCUUCAACAGCCUCCCAAAUGCAUGACAAGCCAGCACUAUAACAUAUUGUCCUAACUAUCGUGGAAAGUUAAACGCCUUAUCAAGGCAUCAAGCUUGUUUGGUGUUUCUAAGACAAUCUACUAAAAGCCGAAUACUACUAAAGAGAAUCAACUAAGUUAGAAUAAUGUUUAU